AGGUGGGAACCUCCCAACAGCCCAGGUGGUCUGGAGCUCAGUGGGGCUGGAGUGGGACAGGGACCCCUCUCUGAGGUUGUGCUCCCUGCUGCAGGCUGAGAGAGACAGCGAAGAGCCAAUGGAAGUGGACAUGGUGAGAGAUAUUAUCGAUGAUGUAGAGGAGAUGGAGGUGGACAUGAAAGAGGAUGAAGAAGAGGAGAUGGAAGUAGAGGAGGAAGGGGAGAAGGAAGAGGACAUGAUCCUGGGAUAAGGACACCCCACCCCAUCAGCAGGACUGACGGACCUGCCGACCAUGCAAUCGGCCACCUGUACAUAUGUUUUUCACCCUUUUCCCAAUUUUUCUGUAAAUAUUUUUUUUAUUAGUGACUUUUUAAGAAGUUUGUUGCUUUUAUAAGAAGAUAGCUUAAGAAGAUAGAUUUUUAAUUAUGAAGAUAGUUUUUUAUUAAGACAAUAGUUUUUUUAAGAAGAUGAGGUUCCUUUAUAAGAAGAUAGCUCUGUUCUAAGAAGAUAGUUGCUUUAUUUUGAAGAUAGUUGUUUUUAUUAAGAAGAUAGUUGUUUUAUUAAGAAGAUAUUUUUAUUAAGAAGACACUUGUUUCUAUUAAGAAGAUGGUUGCUGAUAUUAAGAGUGUUGUCAUCAAGAAGACUGUUGUUUCUAUAAAGAAGAAUACAGGUUUUAUUGAGAAAAUUCUGAAAAUGUCAAUAAAUUCUGGAUUCGUG